rnacentral:rRNA from 1 species
UACGUAGGGUGCAAGCGUUAAUCGGAAUUACUGGGCGUAAAGCGUGCGCAGGCGGCUUUUGCAAGACAGAUGUGAAAUCCCCGGGCUUAACCUGGGAACUGCAUUUUUGUGACUGCAUGGCUGGAGUGCGGCAGAGGGGGAUGGAAUUCCGCGUGUAGCAGUGAAAUGCGUAGAUAUGCGGAGGAACACCGAUGGCGAAGGCAAUCCCCUGGGGCCUGCACUGACGUCAUGCACGAAAGCGUGGGGAGCAAACAGG